UCAGGUGUUGUGCAGAUUUAAGAGUAGUUUGGCUACAUGGGACAGUGGGUUCACAUUGUUGUAAUUAUUUCAGUUUGAGUAUGCAGUUCCACUCACAGGCAAGCAGCCAAGAAUCCGACUAUUGUUGUGUUGGACGCACUUGGUUGGUUCCUCUCCAUCAGCGUCAUCCGUUUUAGAGGUCACUGAUCACAACCUUUUAAGUUAGUCACUCUGAUUUGACACUGCGGCGGCAGUGUUGUUGAGAGAGCCUUGCUAUGUAGGGAGGCAUUAUUUACCGUGGACUAAAGAUGGUUGGUGGGAUAAAGGAAAACACAAGUGAGGCAUUAUCUAUGGGGGCAGACAUUCAUCCUACAUCAUUGAGUUACUAUAUUUCAGAGCAUGUAUGCAGUGGAAGAAGAGCACAUCCUUCACAUCUGAUUUUGGGUAGCUUGAUCUAUCAAGAGAAUAAGAGAAUGACAAGGUAAUUG